GAGGAGCGGGACAGGAGGAUCAGCAAGCUGACCUCAGACCUGGGUGACUCCAAUGCCAAACUCAAGGAACGUGACAGGAAAAUCACCAAACUCUCUGCUGAAAUCCGUGAGUGCUGCUCCUCGUGUGAUGAUUUUGGGCUCAAACUCCUCAUUUUUGGUCGAUUCUCAUGGAUUAAUCCCCGUUUUUUCCAUCCCACAGGAAGGUUCACGGCUC